CACUUGUUGCAAAAUAGAUUCCUUCUUAUUUAAUGGAGGACAGAUGCAUCUUCUUUUGAUGUAACAGCUGUGUGGUAUGAUUGAAUCUUCAAUUAACUACAUGUAGAUGAAUAUUCAACAACAAUUGACCUUCAAAAUAUCACAUUGUCUGUUCCAUACUGAGAUUAAUAUUGACCUCUGACCUCUAUUGUUUAUCAUACAUCAGGUAAAUUAAUUAGAAAGGUGUACACAGUAAAUCUUAUAGUUUAUCAUAUAUGCAAUCAUCAUGCACUUGAUUACAUGUUUUAUGUAAUUAUUUUCUAGUCGCAAUAUGAUUGGUUUUCUGCAAAUUUCAAAUUCAAAUUGGAUACAAGUUUCCUCAAUAAUUGAUAAUCCUCUAGAAAAAGCGUUCAACAUCCACUAGAACUAUCAACAUCAUUAACUGAUGGUUUAUUGUUACAUACUUAUCAUGAUCUAUCAUCCUAUUCACAAAUAUACUGUAAUAUCAAAUUGUUGAUUACACAUAUUUUAAUCCGUUUUACAAAGGUAUAUUGACUAAUCCAAUAAUAAUCGAAAUCAAUAUUGCCUGUGAAUGACUGACAUAAAAACAAAUACACAAGAGGACUGUCACAUUGAGAAACAAUGUCACCUGACAUAAAUAUAUCUUGUGUAAAAAUUUGUAGCCUUCAGGUGUUUUCUAUUUCUCAACAAAAUAUGAAGAAAAAUAGGAUAUUUCAGUUUUUACCGAAUAUAGUUUAAUACAGAUGUAAUGUUACAUUUCGUCAGUCAAGCAUAGAGAAUAUGUCCAAUGACCUGAUCAGACAUUUAACCUUAGCUUUAUCCAAUGUUAAAGGUGUAAAAUGUCUUUGAUGAAUAACAUCCAACGGGGUGAAGUAAUUGAAAAAUCAGUUGAAAAUGGUUAAUACAUUUUACUGACAUGAAUGUUUUUUUAUGAAAUGAGGCUAUUAUAAUAAUGUGCAUUGCAGAUACAUGUAUUGCUUGUAAAAUAUCAUUUAUAGGUAGAGUUACUAAGAUUGAAAAAUAGGCCAUAAAAUAAUGACGUAAACACAUUCCUGUAUAAAAUGUUGUGCUGCUUUCCUUAAAUUAAAAUUCAAUGUUGUGUUACAAAUCCUUUCUAAAAUUAAAUAAUUCAAUAGCCUGGUAUCAUGCUUCAAUUGAGAAAGGUACAUUUGUAACUGGUUAUUACCAAUUUAUUGCUCAAUACUGUAUCACCAAUGUGACAACAAAUAUUUAUUUAUAAAUCAUAAUUUUGGUUUUCAUAGGGGUUUUAUGUCAGUUUAACAGUGAACCAUAGCUUAUAAUAUGUCCUUGUUUUGUAUUAUUUUCAUUAUUUAUUACAGGACAUUUACCCAACAGGUGGUUAGUGAUAUUCAUAAAUCUGACUUACAACAUACUGCAGAAUAUGCACAGUAUGCAAGGGAGGAUCCAGCCAUUUUUAAGGGGGUUCCCAACUCAGGAAAAAGGUUCUAACCAUAUGUCCCCCUUCAAAUGCAUUCAUUUUCAACAUUGUCUUAUUGACCCAGCGUCAAAUACUGCCUACCUUGGGCUUAAUUUCACAUCAAAAUAUAAGCACAGGAGAGUCUUAUGUCGGGGAAAGUCAAUCAGAAUUCCCAACUAUUAUAUUCCCAAUUCCUUACAUUCAUUUUGUAGCCAUUUUUAUAAGAAAGCCUUGUUCUCUAAAAUUUUACUCAAUGUAUUUUAAAAUACACAAUUGCAAGGACUUAAUAUUUAGUUCCUUGGAAAAAUGCAGUAAAAUUUCAUACAUGUCAUGAUUCAGUUUACAAUUAUUUGUUGAGGGAGAAAACUAACAAGUAUAUAUCCGGAUUCAUAGUACAUGGAUGCCCUACUCCACUAUCAUUUUCUUUGUUAAAUGGACCAUGACAAUGGGUACAAAUUCUAAUUUGGCAUUAAAAUUAGAAAGAUCAUAUCAUAAGUCCUAGGAACAUAUGUACUAAAUUUGAACUUCAUCAAAAACUAACUUGACCAAUAGUUUUAAUUAAAAAACUUUAACUGAAGCUGUACAGAUGGAAGGAUGCACAACAAAUGCACAGACCAAGUAUGCAAUAAUAGUAAUGCAUACAUACUCACUUCAAGCAUGAAACAAAAUUUCAUGAAGAUCUGAUUUGUAUUUUCCUGAGUUAAAUGCUAUAAACAUGUCAUGGGACAGACUGAGCACUCCUGGGGACAGCGGUUUAUUGUAGUAGUUUGUAUGCAGAAGAUUUUCUAAUGAAAAAAAAAGAAAGCUAGGAGAAAGGAAAGAAUGCAAAGCUUCAAACAAAUGUUAAGUGGCCUCACAAAAUAACUGAUUUGUUUGUUUUCUUCUUAGUAAACAAAAAUCAAUAAGUUUUAAACUCAUAUUUUUGUACAAUCCAAAUGUACAAUGUAAAUAAGAACCAAAUCAUGAUUUACAACAACAAUAAUAUUACAUAACAAAGAUGUGUUUAUUUCAAUGACAUCUGAAGGUCAUCAUAAACUGCAGACUAUACUUAAUUAUGACCUAAAUAAUUCCAAGCAACAAUACUGGAUCAUAUUCUCUUUAUUAAUAAUUUUCAUUGUAAUUCAAAAUAUGACCCAGUUUCAUUCACUGCGGGACUGUGUAAGUGAAUAGGAAAUAUAAACAUACAUGUACACGAACGUACAGAAAUAUGAAAAUCUGCAAAAUAUACAGAAAAACAAACAAAGAAGAGGGUGUAAAAUGGAAUUUGUUUAAAGUUUCAAGCACUAAUUGGCAGACAAUCUUUUCAAUCUGUUGAUUAUUUGUAAUCUGAUUCCACCCCUGUAUUGUUUUACCUACCAUGAAAAACUAGAUGAAAAGAUUACACUGGAAGAGGUUUGACAAAGGGGCUUUUUUAUUUAUAAGUUACUAGUCUAAUCAAUUUUGAUAUCAAAAUGAUUUAAAAUAAUAUUUUAUGCCUUUCUACAACUUAUUGUGUUUAAUAUGGAUUUAUUUUGGCUGAAGGGAGACAAUUCAAUCUUGUUUACACAACACUUGUCAGUGAAUCAUUACAUUCUAUGUGUAUCAUAUUUCAUAAUCCACAUUGCAAAUUAGACAAAAAUCAUUUCAAAUGUCAAGAUCAGUACAAAAAUCAAGUGUCUUUUAUUUCUUUCUUUAACACCAACAUCAAUAAACUAUAAAUAGGGUGCACACACUGAAAAUUCAAGCUGCUGUACUGUCCAUGUCUUAACUUUUGAGUCCACAAGCCAGAAGCUCAAUUUUAAGAAUUUUUUUGUUGGAUUCUGUUGGCCUGUAGAGAAGAAUUUUAAAGGCUCUAAAGUAGUUUUACAAGCCAAUGCUGUAGGACUUGUGGUUAUGCGCACAGACUGUGGCAUGAUGUAAUUUAUGUUAAAAUUCUUUAAUUUAAAUAACAUAAUCAUGAUAUUUAACCUAUUGCUUGUAGAUUCAAAGAAACAAACUUAACGGUAAACCAAUAACACUUCACUUCAAACCAAUGAAGAUGAAAAGAGACCAAACCGCAAAAUAUAUCAAAACAUUGACCAGUGAACUGUGAAAAUUAGGUCCAGGUCAGAUGAACCUACCAGACAAAUAUUUUCACCAUGUAAUCAUUCCAUACAGUAAAUAAAGUUGACCCCCUGCAGCUAACAGUGGAGAUAUGGAUUUUAAAACUUAACAUUGAUCACCGAUCUAUGAAGAAAUUCAAACACAUAUUUCCUAUCUUGUUUGUUUACAAUAUUGCCUUAAAUCAGGAGAUCAAAGUAUAACUAAAAAUAUUUCCAUGUUCAAGGGAAAUAACUUUUAUCAAGAGUUAAAUGCUUAUUUUGGCAUGUUAGUGUUUAGUUGGUCUUAAUUUGCUGUUCUUUUUUUUUCUGUUUACAGAUUUUCCUAAAUGUCCUAUCUGCUACAGAUUCCUCAGAAAAAAACAAAUGUGUAAAAAAUCAUAUUUCAAGGGCAAUAAUUCCUCGAUUGAGUCACCUGAUUAUAUAUUUAAAUUAAUUGACUGAUUAUAUAUUUAAAUUUUAAUUAAUAAGAACUGAAUUCAAACUUGUAUAGUCCUCAGUUUUAUUCUUCAAAAUUGAACCGGCCAGAGACGGGUUAGGUCAGAGUACAAUAAGCAAGAAAUAGGAGAUUGAUUGACUUAUUGUUGGUGUUUUAAAGCCACUUAUAAGUGCCACUAAGGGCUAUUUCUUGGCCGCCAGUUUUUAUUGGUGGAGGAAGCUAGAGUGUCAAAAGAAAACGCUUCGAUAGGAAAAUUGACAAUCCUAGUCAAUUAAGAUUAGAGUGAAGUGCACCCACACCAGCAGGAGUUUAACUUACAACCUCAGUGUUGACUUGCUAAUGAUUACAGUAGUAGAACUACUUAUUAGACUACUUGGCCACAGAGGCACAAAGAAAUGAGGAAAAUUUGAUUCAGUGAGCUCCACCAUGUUUGAUAUUGAAAUUGUAGAAAGAGCUCUUAUCAUUUUCAAAACUAAAUAAUUUUACCUUAUCCAUAUUAAUUAUUGUAGAGGAGCUAAAUUGGGUGAGCAGGUUGUGGAUGGAUGGAAAUUAGUUUGACCCAAAGUUGGUCAUCAGGUGCAAAAACCAUCAAUUUUGAUAAUUUUUCAUCCUAUUUCUUGACCUGGCAGACCAAGGGAUGGUGCAAGUUGUAUCUAACUGUAGUCUGCAUGUAGAGUGCCCAGUGAACACAUUAACAACAAUGGUUCUUAUGUUAGAGUGAAACUGGUCUAGGUAAAGCAGUCUAAAAAUGCACAAAUAACAUUAAUCCUGCAUGGUAAGGGGACAAUAACAAUCAAAACCAAGGAGUAAACAAAGACUCACAAAACCAAGACAUUUACAUCAACAGUUAUAAAUAAUAAAUAAAAACAACACUCAAAACCGGAAGUGAAAUCAGGUGCUCUGGAAGGGUAAGCAUUUCCUGCACCAUAUAUUUAGAUCUUUCAAACACUUAUGAACAUGUUUAGAUACAUGUAUGUCAACAUUCCAGCCAUACAUUGUAUGUCCCCAUUCAAAUGAAUUGAUUGUCUCAAAACUAGUAGGGGUUCCAACUCCCAGAAUCCGCCCCCUAAGUCAGCCACUUGCCAUUGAGAGCGAAUACUUUUUGACCGUCUCUGUAGAUGACCAUGGAAAUUUUUCAAUUUUCAUAGCCAUUAUCCUGUUCUUAUUUACCAACUCAAUUUGUCUUUACCAUGAUGAGCAUCAUGAAAGGUGCCAUAUGUGUGUAGCACUUCUUGUGCCCUUAGAUCAACCAAAGUUGGUAGAGAGGAUGAAUUAAGAUUAAAGAAUGAAUCUGUAUGUUGACGCAAAUCCAGGAUUUAAUGUUAAUUUGUAAUUAGAGGGGUGCUGCACCUAGUGGGUCCCAAUUUUAAUCCAAACCUGAAUUUUGAAUAUGUAUGGUUUAAAAAAUCUAAAUAUGCUUGGUCAUUGCACAAAGUACAUAUACAUAUAUAACAUUGUACAAUACACCUUAUUGCUAUUUGUCCGCCAUUAAUGGACAUCACACAGGUUUCCGUACAAUUUUUACAUCAUAUUACAAAAUAUCUGACGCCAAAAUGGAAAAGUGAUUGUUGCAUAACGUCAAUAGUUCAAGUGUGACAGACUCUCUGGUCAGUCAGGCAUAGCGAUAAGGUGUAUGUAUUCUACACCAAGUAAAUCUUAAAAACAUCAGCUUGAAAGAGCCAGGUGCUAAUGAAAAUUUGAGCAAAACAAUUCAGAGACAGUGUGCAAAACAACCAGGAUUAUUACUGCAAAAUGUACUAUUAGUAUAAUCUUGAUCUACAUAUGAUACAGAUAGGAAUACAGUGAUACAUCCAAGAGUAUUAAUACACUACAUGUAUGUGUGCAUCAAGUAAUUUACUCAAGUGGGGCCCCCUUACAAUUUCGCUAAAGGUUUUACCUUCUUUUACUGUCUGAAUCUUGAUGAAAAUAUCAUGUGGUAGUUGGUUCCAGUCUUUGAUGGUAUUUGGUAUGAAACUGUAUUCUAAAGUGUCCUAUUUUGUUUUAAGUCUAAUUAGGAAAUACCAAUGUAUACUUGAUUUUUGUAUUAGAACAUGUUAGAACAUUGGUCUCUACCUUUCACUCGAAGGAUUUAGCAAGCUACUGUAGAUCUUUAUUUUUCUGUCAAGAAAACACAAGACAUAAGAUAACUAAUUAAAUAUUCUCAAUUUUACCUGAAAUGAAGGUGUGUUUACUUUUUUAGAACCCCUAACUUCCUGCUGUGUACCUGAAGUACCCGCUUCACGAUUGUACAAAUAAAAGUGUUCACAAUGACAAACCUGUCUGAAAAGGACAUGCUCUGAAGCUGUUACAGCAUCAAGACUGUAUCGAUG
rnacentral:lncRNA from 1 species